rnacentral:rRNA from 1 species
GACAGAGGGUGCAAACGUUGUUCGGAAUUACUGGGCGUAAAGCGCGUGUAGGCAGUUUCGCAAGUCGGGUGUGAAAGCCCUGGGCUCAACCUAGGAAGUGCACUCGAAACUGCGAGACUUGAGUCCUGGAGAGGAAGGCGGAAUUCUCGGUGUAGAGGUGAAAUUCGUAGAUAUCGAGAGGAACACCGGUGGCGAAGGCGGCGAUCUGGGUAGAUACUGACGCUGAGGUGCGAAAGCGUGGGGAGCAAACAGGG